GUAAAACUUGUCAAUUGCUUGAAAUAAUAACACGAUCUACAACAAUAGGGCAACAUAAGUGUAUAAUCAGGUACAGUGUAACACAAUGAUAUCAUCUUUAUGGUAAAAUUUGAUAGAUAGAUGUAAUUACACAAUCUACAACAUUACUACGAUAAACAUGAUUGUUUAUCAAAACUACAAUCCGAUAAACUUCAACAAGUACUCAAAAAUUAAUGAGCUUGCGAUCAACAAUUACAGAAUGAAAUAUUAUGUAAACAAUUUUGGAUAAGGACUUUGUCUUUUUCACAAAGUUACUUUGAUUGGAUCAUCACCCAGUCUAAGUGUUACUACAGUAUACAGUUCCGUUACUAAAUGAAGGGAAAUAAAAAACAACAAUUACCCAUUUGGUAUGAGUGUUAUGUUGGUUUUACUAUAAUUGUCAAGGGCAUUUUUUUCGUGUUUUUAUUUUUGUCAAUACAUGGCUGGAUAUUUUUGGAAAAAAACCACCUUGCAGGUUAGAUUUUUUAUAUAGCAUCAUUUGUAUGUAAAAUUCCAUGAAAACCUCAGUAAUUAACCCACAUUUCUGUACAUUUACUACAAUUGCAAUAAUAAAUCACAGACAUUAAGGAGAAGGUACGACACGGUAACCAUGGUAAUGGGUAGAUUUGGCCAAAAAAAUCAAAGUACAUCUGAUAAAAGAUUUUUGUCUUUUAAACACUAAAGUGUCUUCUUCAUUCGGUUCAACUAUGCUAUGUACACGAUUUUGAACUACACUGGUCAUUAAAGACGCUCAAGUUCAUCAAGUUCAAAAAAUCUAUCAAAUAUGCAAUAACACAUUACUUACAGAUGUUGUUUUUUCUAAGAUGUAGGUGGCUGCAUUCGUGUGCAGUCUCAAACUUUAAAUAUGGUAUGCUUUAUCAUUAAAUAACACCAUAUAUUUAUAAAUUAUGACUCAACACAAGUGCAGACACUUCUAACAAUUUUAAGGGGUCUUUCUUGGCCUACUCCAUUCUGAUAUGUCUGUAUAUAACUACAAUUUACAGUCUAAUCAACCAUGUU
rnacentral:lncRNA from 1 species